UACAGAGGUCCCAAGCGUUGUUCGGAUUCACUGGGCGUAAAGCGUGCGCAGGCGGUUUUGUAAGUCUGUCGUGAAAUCCCCGGGCUCAACCUGGGAAUUGCGAUGGAGACUGCAAGGCUAGAAUCUGGCAGAGGGGGGUAGAAUUCCACGUGUAGCAGUGAAAUGCGUAGAGAUGUGGAGGAACACCGAUGGCGAAGGCAGCCCCCUGGGUCAAGAUUGACGCUCAUGCACGAAAGCGUGGGGAGCAAACAGG
rnacentral:rRNA from 1 species